UGGGCGUAAGCGCGCGCAGGCGGUCCUUUAAGUCUGAUGUGAAAGCCCACGGCUCAACCGUGGAGGGUCAUUGGAAACUGGGGGACUUGAGUGCAGAAGAGGAAAGUGGAAUUCCAAGUGUAGCGGUGAAAUGCGUAGAGAUUUGGAGGAACACCAGUGGCGAAGGCGACUUUCUGGUCUGUAACUGACGCUGAGGCGCGAAAGCGUGGGGAGCAAACAGGAUUAGAUACCCUGGUAGUCCACGCCGUAAACGAUGAGUGCUAAGUGUUAGGGGGUUUCCGCCCCUUAGUGCUGCAGCUAACGCAUUAAGCACUCCGCCUGGGGAGUACGGUCGCAAGACUGAAACUCAAAGGAAUUGACGGGGGCCCGCACAAGCGGUGGAGCAUGUGGUUUAAUUCUAAGCAACGCGAAGAACCUUACCAGGUCUUGGCGGGGGUUGACCACUGUAGAAAUAAAGUUUCCCCUUCGGGGGCCACAGUGACAGGUGGUGCAUGGUUGUCGUCAGCUCG
rnacentral:rRNA from 1 species